GAUGAACGCUGGCGGCGUGCUUAACACAUGCAAGUCGAACGGAAAGGCCCAAGCUUGCUUGGGUACUCGAGUGGCGAACGGGUGAGUAACACGUGGGUGAUCUGCCCUGCACUUCGGGAUAAGCCUGGGAAACUGGGUCUAAUACCGGAUAGGACCACAUUUUGGAUGGUGUGGUGGAAAGUUUUUCGGUGUGGGAUGAGCUCGCGGCCUAUCAGCUUGUUGGUGGGGUAAUGGCCUACCAAGGCGUCGACGGGUAGCCGGCCUGAGAGGGUGUACGGCCACAUUGGGACUGAGAUACGGCACAGACUCCUACGGGAGGCAGCAGUGGGGAAUAUUGCACAAUGGGCGCAAGCCUGAUGCAGCGACGCCGCGUGGGGGAUGACGGCCUUCGGGUUGUAAACUCCUUUCGCUAGGGACGAAGCGUUAUGUGACGGUACCUGGAGAAGAAGCACCGGCUAACUACGUG
rnacentral:rRNA from 1 species